UACAGAGACUGCGAGCGUUAUUCGGAUUCACUGGGCGUAAAGGGUGCGCAGGCGGCCGUGUGUGUGAGGCGUGAAAGCCCGGGGCUUAACCCCGGAAUUGCACCUCAAACUACACGGCUAGAGCAUUGGAGAGGGUAGCGGAAUUCACGGUGUAGCAGUGAAAUGCGUAGAUAUCGUGAGGAACACCAGUGGCGAAGGCGAGUCUCUGGACAUUUCCUGACGCUGAGGCACGAAAGCCAGGGGAGCAAACGGG
rnacentral:rRNA from 1 species